UACGGGGGGAGCAAGCGUUGUUCGGAUUCAUUGGGCGUAAAGGGUGCGUAGGUGGCGCGCUAAGUCAGGUGUGAAAUUUCGGAGCUUAACUCCGAAACUGCAUUUGAUACUGGUGUGCUUGAGGACUGGAGAGGAGACUGGAAUUUACGGUGUAGCAGUGAAAUGCGUAGAGAUCGUAAGGAAGACCAGUGGCGAAGGCGGGUCUCUGGACAGUUCCUGACACUGAGGCACGAAGGCCAGGGGAGCAAACGGG
rnacentral:rRNA from 1 species